rnacentral:rRNA from 1 species
CCCGUCGACGCACGCCCUCCCGCCGCCUCCGCCGCCUCCGCCGCAUCCUCCUGCCUCCGCCGAGACAUCUGCGGGUGCUCCUUCCCGCGCCGCCGUCUUCGACACCCGCCGAUGCCACCGCGGUGCCUCGUCGAGAAGGGUGUUGAAUAAGUCAUAAGUGUUUAUGGACUUCAAGCCAGUAGAGGAUUUUUCCUGCACUGCUUAUCCUGCUUUAUUUCACAGUGGAUUGGCAGAUCAGAACUUAUCAAAGAAAUGCUGAUGGAUCCACCUGUUAUGCAAGCGGAUUGCCAAUUACAGAAUGACGUGGAGAAAAUGUCAUCUAUUUCUUAUGAUAGGAAACAUACCUUAUCACGUAAUGACCACGGGUGGCAAGCCUCCGAUGUUCAUCAGAAUGCCGCAAUAAGUUGUAACCCUGUUGAAGUUAACAAUUCUUCUGGCUCGAGCACAGAUGAGAAAGUAGAUGGUUCCUCUGAAAAGUCUUCUGUUAGCUUGGAUGGUUUCUCAGAGGUGAACUUUUUUGUACCACAUAAAGAAAAGAACGUCCAGGAUGCUUACUUCAAUGAUGUAAGGUUUCAAUUGAAUGCAAGCUUGGAAAAUAAUGGCUCCCCAGGGGAUGCCAACUGCAGCAAACACUGCAUCAGUAAGAAGGAUUUACAUCAUUCCCAGGAGGAGAUGUGUUCACCGUCCAAUAUAGUAACUGGACUUAGGUCAUGCCAGUCAAAUGGAGAUGUCCUUCCUUCCAAAGGCAAGAAAAUGACAGAAGUACAACUCACAUAUAACAUCAAUGUUGAUGCAGAAAGUAAGGAAUUUGGGACUGACAUUGCAAGUAAGGGAGUCGGGACUGACUUGGUAAACAAGGAAGUCGGCAACGAUAUGGCAGGAUCUCAUGAUGCCCAAAAGGAGUUGCCGUGCCCACUUCAAGGUCUAUCAGAAAGAUCAUGCGAUGGGUUAGUAAGUAAAAUAUUUUCUCAGGAAGAGAAUGAGACAUCUGUCUCACCUAAAAACGGCAUGGAUAUGCUUGUUCAUAACAACAGUUGUAAUGGCAAUACUAAUGAUGUUGGCGAAGAGAUGGAUACAAGAAGUAUCGAAGAAGAAGAUCAUGCCGUGGCACUUUGGGUAAAGUGGAGAGGAAAAUGGCGAACAGGAAUUCGAUGCUGUAGGGUGGACUGUCCUUUGUCCACUCUCAAGGCAAAACCAACUAUUGACAGGAAGACCUAUAUUGUUGUUUUCUUUCCACAAACAAGGACUUAUUCUUGGGUGGACAUGCUACUAGUCCUUCCAAUUGAUGAAUAUCCUGUGCCACUUGUGAAUGGAACUCAUCGCAAAUGGCGAAAGAUGGUGAAGGAUUUGAGUGUUCCUCGACGAUUCAUCAUGCAGAAGCUUGCUAUCUCAAUGCUAAACUUUAGCGAUGAACUUCACACUGAGGCCAUAAUUGAGAAUGCUCGGAAGGCAACAGCUUGGAAAGAAUUUGCUCGGGAAGCAUCAUGCUGUGGAGAUUACACUGAUCUUGGGAAGAUGCUUGUCAAACUUAAAAAGAUGAUUCUUCCAGACUACACAAGCUCUCAUUGGCUCCAAAAUUCUUCUGACUUGUGGGGCCAGAAGUGUAAUAUUGCUCAUGAUGCUGAGACUGUUGAAAUUCUUGCCGAGGAACUUAGGCAGUCUGUUCUUUGGGACAAGGUCGAUGAGUUGUGGAAUGCACCAAUGCAGCCUGAAUUAGUACCAGAGUGGAAAACAUGGAAACAAGAAGUCAUGAAACAGUUCUUUUCAUCACAUGCUGUAGGUAAUACGGGCAACUUUGAUCAAAGCAAUAGCUAUGAUGAUCCAGGUAUGGAUCAACAAGCUCGCAGAAAGCGUCCCAAACUUGAAGUGCGCAGAGGAGAACCACAUUUUUCUCACGCGAAUGAUGCUAACUGCAGCAUUCUCAGUGAGGGCCUGAACGGUAAUAACUUCCCUAGUAGACCUAUCACUGAUGGACAUAUGGAAGUGUUAGCAUCAGUGGAUCAGAAUAACACUGGCACCUUCCUCAGUAAUUCUGCCCCCCAUGAGAUUGCAGAAUCAGGCCGCAUCAACCCAGCUUUACAGAAUGCCAGACAUGAGUUUGAUUCCUUGAAGAAUUCUCGGCAGUGUUCUGCAUACAUAGAAACAAAAGGAAGACAGUGCGGCAGGUGGGCUAAUGAUGGUGAUAUUUAUUGCUGUGUGCAUCAAAGCAUGCAUGACCGUUAUUCUAGGGAGGACAGGGGACUUAGUGGUGAUGCUUUAGUCUGUAGUGGUAUGACUAAUUUGGGUAGACAAUGCAAGCAUCGAGCCCAGCAUGGUUCUAUUUUCUGCAAAAAACACCGUUCCCAGACAAGCCUGGAUACUGUAAGCUCUGAUAAUUUAUUCAGUUCAUCUGGGGGUCUCCAUAAAAGGGAAGAGUCUCCAAAAGGAAUGGAAAAGAAUUCCAACUCAAGUGCAAUAUGCAUUGUGGAUGCAGAAAGGGCCAGUAGUUCCCAAGUUCCUCUUCAAAUGCAAUUGACCUCGACCAUGGCUGCAGAGAUUUCAGGUGAUAAAGCUUGUGGAUUGGAGAACCCUGAUAUGUUCUACCCCAUGUCAACUUCCAUGGCAAAAGCUAAUUCAGAUACUGAUCUUUGCAUUGGAAUUCUUUCUCAUGACAAUAUUGUUGAAUGCCAGGAUUAUGCUAAGCGACACACUCUUUACUGCGAGAAGCACCUUCCAAAGUUCCUUAAACGUGCCAGGAACGGAAAGAGUCGACUCAUAUCUAAAGAUGUUUUUAUCAAUCUAUUGAAGGGCUGUGCAUCAAGGCAAGAAAAAAUAUGUUUACACCGGGCAUGUGAGUUUCUUUAUUGGUUCUUGAGAAACAACUUCUCUCGUCAACAAUCUGGUCUUGGUAAUGACUAUAUGCCUCAGAUUCUAGCUGAAGUGUCCAAGGAUACUGAUGUUGGAGAAUUUUUGUUAAAGUUGAUCUCUAGUGAAAGAGAAAAACUCACAAAUCUUUGGGGCUUUGGUACAAAUGGAUCUCAGCAAAUAAAUCCUGAUAACCAAGAGGGAUCUAUGAUAGUGUUGCAAGAAGAGAAAACUAAUCAUUCAGCUGGUUUAAAGUGCAAAAUAUGUGCCCAGGAGUUCUCUGAUGAUCAGUGUCUCGCGUUACAUUGGACAGAAGUUCACCGAAAGGAGACCCGAUGGCUGUUCAGAGGGUAUUCUUGUGCUGUUUGCAUGGAUCCAUUUACCAACAGAAAAGUUCUUGAAAAACAUGUACAAGAAAAACAUGGUGCUCAAUAUCUCCAAUAUUCGAUUCUCUUCCGAUGCAUGUCAUGUGACAGCAACUUCUUGAACAUGGAUCUGCUAUGGCAACAUAUUGUUUCAGAUCAUGCCCACGAGUUCGGGCUUCUUGAUGCCCCACAACGACCUAAAGGUCAAUCUGUAAGAACAGAAGGGACAAGUUUCAAGGCCCUCUAUGAUAACCAUGACCUUGGGAAGGAUGAUGGCUCACAAAAGUUGACCUGUAGACUAUGUGGGUUGAGAUUCGAUCUACUGGCAGAUCUUGGCCGCCACAAUCAAGUUGCCCAUAUGGACCAAGGUACGGUUGGCCACAUUCCACCAGGACGUGGGAAGUAUCAACUUAACCGUGGUCGACACUACUAUUCUGCAUUCAAGAAAAACCUACGACCAUCAGGUUCAUUAAAGAAGAGGAGUAGCUCAGGGGUUGAGAAACAUUUUGAUAUUUCAAGCUCUGAUCUAUCUAUGAUAACAUCGCAAGUUGCGGAACCUGAAACAGCUAACCUUGGUAAGUUAGUGGAUUUCCAAUGCUCAGAUGUGGCUCAAACUUUAUUUUCAAAGAUUCAAAAGACAAGACCCCAUCCAAGUAACCUUGAUAUUUUAUCCGUGGCCCGUUCUGUAUGCUGUAAGACAAGUCUUCUUGCAGCAUUGGAAGUGAAAUAUGGAACAAUGCCUGAAAACAUAUUUGUGAAAGCUGCAAAGCUUUGUAGUGACAUUGGCAUCCCAAUCAAUUGGCAUCAAGAGGAAUUCACUUGUCCUAAGGGAUGCAAAUCUGGAUAUGCUUUAAAUACCCUGCCGCCUUUACAGCUUACCCAUGUUGAUUUCCCCACAGUAGCUUCUGUGAUGAAUCCUCCAGAAAAUGAUGGAACGUGGGGCAUGGAAGAAUACCAUUAUGUUCUUGAUUCAGAGCACUUCAUGUGGAAGCUUAAAAAUGAGAGGGUUGUUCUUUGUGAAGAUGUAAGCUUUGGCAGGGAGAAAGUUCCAAUUGUCUGUGCAAUUGAUGUUGAUGCAAAAGAAUCUCUCCAUAUGAAACCUGAAGAAUUAUUGCAGCAUUGCAGUUCUGUGCCAUGGCAAGGUUUUCAUUACGUCACAACUCGUUUGAUGGAUUCAUCUCUUGUUGAUUCAGAGAGUUACAUGGUUGGCUGUGCGUGUUCUCAUGCCCAUUGCUCUCCUGAGAAAUGUGAUCAUGUGAACCUCUUUGACAGUGUUUAUGAGAACCUAGUGGAUAUGUAUGCUAUGCCAAUGCAUGGCAGAUUUGCAUACGAUGAAAAUGGCAAAACCAUUUUGCAGGAAGGAUAUCCGAUAUACGAGUGCAAUUCGCUAUGUACCUGUGAUGCAUCCUGUAAAAAUAAAGUUUUGCAGCAAGGGCUGCUGGUUAAAUUGGAACUCUUCAGAACUGACAAUAAGGGUUGGGCUGUUCGAGCUACAGAACCUAUUCCACAGGGUACUUUUGUGUGCGAGUAUGUCGGGGAGGUUGUGAAGGAUGAUGAGACCAUGAGAAACACAGAAAGUGAGUCAAAAAGUGGGUGCAGCUACCUUCUUGAUAUCGCUUCGCAUAUUGAUCGGGAAAGAGUUAAGACUUUAGGGACUACGCCAUACAUGAUUGAUGCUACAAGAUAUGGGAAUGUCUCCCGCUUUAUUAAUCAUAGUUGUUCGCCUAACCUUAGUGCCCGCUUAGUUCUGGUGGAAAGCAAAGAUUGCCAACUUGCUCAUGUUGGAUUGUUUGCCAGUCAAGAUAUUGCUGUUGGAGAAGAAUUGUCCUUUGAUUAUCGACGGAAGCUGCAAUCCGGUGAUGGCUGUCCCUGCCAUUGUGGAGCUCAGAAUUGCCGAGGCCGUGUUUAUUGAGUUUGCAGGGUGAAAAAAUAAAAGGGAAUGAUCCAUUGCUUGUAGCGCAUCUUCAGAAGCUCGUAGAAUGGGGUGGGGUCUCAUUCUGCAUGCCGCCAGCAAGUAGUGUUUGUGAUAUAGGAUUCUCACAGCAGUGACACUAGGUACACCAUAGCAUUGAUUUUAGUCAUGGCAACAUCAUGCUUAACUGACGAUUUGUUAGAAGCAGCCCGAAAUUAGAGUGAUUCAGGCGUCAUUUUCGUAGGCGAGAAUUCAGCGUCUUUGUAAAAUAUGUUCAUUCAAUUUUUACUGCUCUUGAGCUCCCAUCAUCGAAGUUGAAGCAAAGAGUCUGUACUUGUUAGUGAGACUGUUGGUCAUGGAGUUUUGCUUAUGUUGGGGUGCCUGUUUUCGGAAAUUGUUAUGCACUGUAAUUAUGGAUUUGUUGACCUGGAAAGAAGGAAAUCAAUUUGCAAUCGUUCU